CCUACGGGUGGCUGCAGUAGGGAAUAUUAGUUAAUGUGCGAAAGCGCGAACUAGCAACGCCGCGUGUGCGAUGAAGGCCUUCGGGUUGUAAAGCACUUUUCCAAGGGACGAGGAAGGACGGUACCUUGGGAAUAAGCAUCGGCUAACUACGUGCCAGCAGCCGCGGUAAAACGUAGGAUGCAAGCGUUAUCCGGAUUUACUGGGCGUAAAGCGCGUGUAGGCGGUUCGGUAAGUUGGAUGUGAAAGCUCCUGGCUUAACUGGGAGAGGUCGUUCAAUACUGCCGAGCUUGAGGAUGGUAGAGGGAGGUGGAAUUCCGAGUGUAGUGGUGAAAUGCGUAGAUAUUCGGAGGAACACCAGUGGCGAAAGCGGCCUCCUGGACCAUUUCUGACGCUCAUACGCGAAAGCUAGGGUAGCAAACGGGAUUAGAUACCCCUGUAGUC
rnacentral:rRNA from 1 species